AAUACCCAAACAUCACGCCUGGGCUAAGGGUCAAGUUGGUAAUUUUUCUGACAUCUCCCCCUCCGGGUGCCCAGGUAUCAUAUACGCUUCCAAAAUACAGAUCCUUGAGUACUAGAAGAAAAGCACCUAUGCCUAAUAAAAUUAAGUGAAUCCCCAAAAUCGUAGUCAUUUUAUUUCUAUCUUUCCA
rfam:Vanilla inodora PsbC-like (psbC) gene, partial sequence; chloroplast.